AUGGCGCGGCGGACGGGGAGGAGCCGGCCGGAGCCGCGGUGGGCCGAGCCGCCGCCGGGCCUCUUCCCCGCCGGAAUCCACGACCUGCUCCGCCUGCUCGCCGUGCUCGCCAUCGCCGCCGCCGUCGCUGCCGCCUGCAGCGUCCUCAACCGCCGCCCCGCCCCCUUCUGCGACUCCGACGACCCCUAUUCCGCCGCCUACGAUUCGUGCGAGCCCUGCCCGGAGAACGGCCGGUGCGUCGACGGCGAGCUGCGGUGCGUCGAGGGGUUCAAGAGACGCGGCAGGGUGUGCGUGGAGGACGGCCUGCUCACCCACACCGCCAACAAGAUCUCAGAGUUGCUCCAGCACAGAAUCUGCGAUGAACACGCCCGUGUGCUGUGCGGCCAGCCCGGCAAGAUCCUGUUCCAACAACAUGACAUCUCAAGUAUGGCUGACGAGCUGUUAUCCAAGGAUGCCGCCCGCCUAAGCGACGAUAGAAUCAGAGUCGUAAAAGAGAGGGUGCUGCAGAGCGCACACGGCUUCUUGGAGACAACGUCGACUUAUGACAAAGUCCAAGCGUUUAAAUGUCCAGAGCUGGCCGCGGAGCUUCAUAGGCCACUGUCUUGUCAAGCUCGUCAAUGGAUCUCUAGCAAUAUCGUCUUCGUGAUCACCUCCUGUGUCUUGUCUGCAGCACUGCUCCGUAUUCUGUGGAGCAUUUACCAGAGACGGGCAUUGUCAAAGAGAGCCGAGCAAAUAUAUGAGCAGGUAUGUGAGAUCCUUGAAGAUAAUGCCAUAAGUGCUAAGAUUGGCAACUCUGAAUGCGAGCCUUGGGUGGUCACCUCCUGGUUGCGUGAUCAUCUACUGUCUACCCGAGAGAGACGGAACACUUUGUUGUGGAAGAAGGUGGAAGAGUUGCUACUGGAAGAUUCUCGCAUAGACCAGUAUCCAAAAGUGAUCAAGGGAGAGGCCAAAGUUGUCUUAGAGUGGCAAGCCAGCGGGUCGCUGAGCGGCAAGAUUAAGAAGAUGCAAGGCGCAGCAGGGAAGGCAAGGAGCGGCAGCGUCGGCGCCAUCAAACUUGCUGAAGAAAUAUGUGGCAGCAGCAUCAGCAGCAGCAGAGACAAGGAGCAUUGUUCUUCAACUAGCAAAGGAGCAACUAAUCCUUUCAUGUAA
rnacentral:rRNA from 1 species